rnacentral:rRNA from 1 species
GACGAACGCUGGCGGCGUGCUUAACACACGCAAGUCGAACGGAAAGGCCCUGCUUUUGUGGGGUGCUCGAGUGGCGAACGGGUGAGUAACACGUGAGUAACCUGCCCCUGACUUUGGGAUAACUUCAGGAAACUGGGGCUAAUACCGGAUAGGAGCUCCUGCUGCAUGGUGGGGGUUGGAAAGUUUCGGCGGUUGGGGAUGGACUCGCGGCUUAUCAGCUUGUUGGUGGGGUAGUGGCUUACCAAGGCUUUGACGGGUAGCCGGCCUGAGAGGGUGACCGGCCACAUUGGGACUGAGAUACGGCCCAGACUCCUACGGGAGGCAGCAGUGGGGAAUAUUGCACAAUGGGCGGAAGCCUGAUGCAGCAACGCCGCGUGCGGGAUGACGGCCUUCGGGUUGUAAACCGCUUUCGCCUGUGACGAAGCGUGAGUGACGGUAAUGGGUAAAGAAGCACCGGCUAACUACGUG